GAUGAACGCUGGCGGCGUGCCUAAUACAUGCGAGUCGAGCGAACAGAUAAGGAGCUUGCUCCUUUGACGUUAGCGGCGGACGGGUGAGUAACACGUGGGUAACCUACCUAUAAGACUGGAAUAACUCCGGGAAACCGGGGCUAAUGCCGGAUAACAUUUAGAACCGCAUGGUUCUAAAGUGAAAGAUGGUUUUGCUAUCACUUAUAGGUGGACCCGCGCCGUAUUAGCUAGUUGGUAAGGUAACGGCUUACCAAGGCAACGAUACGUAGCCGACCUGAGAGGGUGAUCGGCCACACUGGAACUGAGACACGGUCCAGACUCCUACGGGAGGCAGCAGUAGGGAAUCUUCCGCAAUGGGCGAAAGCCUGACGGAGCAACGCCGCGUGAGUGAUGAAGGUCUUCGGAUCGUAAAACUCUGUUAUUAGGGAAGAACAAAUGUGUAAGUAACUGUGCACGUCUUGACGGUACCUAAUCAGAAAGCCACGGCUAACUACGUG
rnacentral:rRNA from 1 species